UUCAAAAUAUAUUCACAUUUGUUUUCUGUUUUAACAUUAUAGCAAUCCUGGCCAUGGUGCUUCCCAAAUUUUGUGGACAAUAUAACUGAGACCCAGAGAUUUUCAUCAAAUUGUUAGACAAAUGAACAGAAGGUACAGGUGCAGUUCGGGUUCAAAUUCUGGAAACCCAUCAUGCCUUGCCUAAGAGGUAUCUUGCUGCUAAGACAACUGCCCAGAGAAAUCAGAUGUGUGUCCUGGAGAAACAUGAGGAAUACCAAUUUGACUCAGGGGAGAUCAGAGUUGGGUGAACCUUACUCCAGUUCCUGGUAGAGAGUUUUCCAUAUUAACAACCAUCAGCAGUGGGUUGGA